CAGCUAUAAUUGUGCUGAGAGUCUAACAGUCAGUUUCCAGUAAUGAAAGGAGACAAGCUCUAAAGUGGACUUGACAGAAGCCUCUAACGCUACAGGAUCUUUGUUCUGCUGAUGUCAUUUCAAGCUCUGCAGAAGAUUUCACAACAGUACCACCUUGUUCUCCUCUCAGAAUUCAAAGUUAACCGGGCCAGGCUGGAGUAGAAGUCCAGAAUAAUUUACUGAAGCCAUUGUCACCAAGAUCAACACUAGUUUGUACAGUGAAAUUCUCCACUUUAAUUGAAAAGAAAAAAUGUUGUGCUAAAAUGACUCUUAAUACCAAACAAAAAGGUUGGAUCUUUUAGUGAUAAAGAUGCUGAUAACAACU